rnacentral:rRNA from 1 species
AGUGAACGCUGGCGGUAGGCCUAACACAUGCAAGUCGAACGGCAGCACAGUAAGAGCUUGCUCUUACGGGUGGCGAGUGGCGGACGGGUGAGGAAUACAUCGGAAUCUACUUUUUCGUGGGGGUUAACGUAGGGAAACUUACGCUAAUACCGCAUACGACCUACGGGUGAAAGCAGGGGAUCUUCGGACCUUGCGCGAUUGAAUGAUCCGAUGUCGGAUUAGCUAGUUGUCGGGGUAAAGGCCCACCAAGGCGACGAUCCGUAGCUGGUCUGAGAGGAUGAUCAGCCACACUGGAACUGAGACACGGUCCAGACUCCUACGGGAGGCAGCAGUGGGGAAUAUUGGACAAUGGGCGCAAGCCUGAUCCAGCCAUACCGCGUGGGUGAAGAAGGCCUUCGGGUUGUAAAGCCCUUUUGUUGGGAAAGAAAAGCAGCAGGUUAAUACCCCGCUGUUCUGACGGUACCCAAAGAAUAAGCACCGGCUAACUUCGUG